rnacentral:tRNA from 1 species
GGGCCGAUAGCUCAGUUGGCUAGAGCGCUUCUAUGGCAUAGAAGAGGUCAGGGGUUCGAGUCCCCUUCGGUCCACUA